rnacentral:rRNA from 1 species
AUCCUGGCUCAGGACGAACGCUGGCGGCGUGCCUAACACAUGCAAGUCGAACGGAGAAUUUUAUUUCGGUAGAAUUCUUAGUGGCGAACGGGUGAGUAACGCGUAGGCAACCUGCCCUUUAGACGGGGACAACAUUCCGAAAGGAGUGCUAAUACCGGAUGUGAUCAUCGUGCCGCAUGGCAGGAUGAAGAAAGAUGGCCUCUACAAGUAAGCUAUCGCUAAAGGAUGGGCCUGCGUCUGAUUAGCUAGUUGGUAGUGUAACGGACUACCAAGGCGAUGAUCAGUAGCCGGUCUGAGAGGAUGAACGGCCACAUUGGGACUGAGACACGGCCCAAACUCCUACGGGAGGCAGCAGUGGGGAAUCUUCCGCAAUGGACGAAAGUCUGACGGAGCAACGCCGCGUGAGUGAUGAAGGAUUUCGGUCUGUAAAGCUCUGUUGUUUAUGACGAACGUGCAGUGUGUGAACAAUGCAUUGCAAUGACGGUAGUAAACGAGGAAGCCACGGCUAACUACGUGCCAGCAGCCGCGGUAAUACGUAGGUGGCGAGCGUUGUCCGGAAUUAUUGGGCGUAAAGAGCAUGUAGGCGGCUUAAUAAGUCGAGCGUGAAAAUGCGGGGCUCAACCCCGUAUGGCGCUGGAAACUGUUAGGCUUGAGUGCAGGAGAGGAAAGGGGAAUUCCCAGUGUAGCGGUGAAAUGCGUAGAUAUUGGGAGGAACACCAGUGGCGAAGGCGGCUUACUGGACGAUGACUGACGUUGAGGCUCGAAAGCGUGGGGAGCAAACAGGAUUAGAUACCCUGGUAGUCCACGC